rnacentral:rRNA from 1 species
UACGUAGGGACCAAGCGUUGUUCGGAUUUACUGGGCGUAAAGAGCGUGUAGGCGGCCAGGUAGGUCUGCUGUGAAAACUCGAGGCUCAACCUCGAGACGUCGGCGGAAACCAUCUGGCUAGAGUCCGGAAGAGGAGAGUGGAAUUCCUGGUGUAGCGGUGAAAUGCGCAGAUAUCAGGAAGAACACCCGUGGCGAAGGCGGCUCUCUGGGACGGUACUGACGCUGAGACGCGAAAGCGUGGGGAGCGAACAGG